rnacentral:rRNA from 1 species
GACGAACGCUGGCGGCGUGCUUAACACAUGCAAGUCGAACGGAAAGGCCCUGCUUUUGUGGGGUGCUCGAGUGGCGAACGGGUGAGUAACACGUGAGUAACCUGCCCUUGACUUUGGGAUAACUUCAGGAAACUGGGGCUAAUACCGGAUAGGAGCUCCUGCCGCAUGGUGGGGGUUGGAAAGUUUCGGCGGUUGGGGAUGGACUCGCGGCUUAUCAGCUUGUUGGUGGGGUAGUGGCUUACCAAGGCUUUGACGGGUAGCCGGCCUGAGAGGGUGACCGGCCACAUUGGGACUGGGAUACGGCCCAGACUCCUACGGGAGGCAGCGGUGGAGAAUAUUACACAGUGGGCGGAAGCCUGGUGCGGCAACGCCGCGUGCGGGAUGACGGCAUUCGGGUUGUAAACCGCUUUCGCAUGUGACGAAGCGUGAGUGACGGUAAUGGGUAAAGAAGCACCGGCUAACUACGUG